CUCACAAUCAACUCUGUUUUUCCACAACUAUGUUAGUAAUUUGUUUAAUCAAAAUCAGUCACAAAGUUUCAACCUUAGAACUAGACAUUAACAUCCUAUUUUUCACAGGUGUUGAAAUUCCUCAGAGUUCAAUGGAUGUUAUGGCUCUCCGUCUUUGACAUAAGAAAGACCUUCAAAUUCUAUUUUACACUUCAGAAUGAAGAACAAAAUCGGUUUUCUAGGAGACCAGUGCAUAAAAUCUCAGUCUUUUUGUGUGUAAACUGGUAAAAAAACAUCAUGACAAUGUCACACAAAGUCAUGUUUUAAUCGAAGAUGGACUGUAAAAUAAUGGCAGGAAGAAAAGAGUUAUUACUCAACAAAUACAGAGGGAACUAAGCAAGAUCGACGAGACCUUGUUCUUAA
rnacentral:lncRNA from 1 species